GAUGAACGCUGGCGGCGUGCCUAAUACAUGCAAGUCGAGCGAACAGACGAGGAGCUUGCUCCUCUGACGUUAGCGGCGGACGGGUGAGUAACACGUGGAUAACCUACCUAUAAGACUGGGAUAACUUCGGGAAACCGGAGCUAAUACCGGAUAAUAUAUUGAACCGCAUGGUUCAAUAGUGAAAGACGGUUUUGCUGUCACUUAUAGAUGGAUCCGCGCCGCAUUAGCUAGUUGGUAAGGUAACGGCUUACCAAGGCAACGAUGCGUAGCCGACCUGAGAGGGUGAUAGGCCACACUGGAACUGAGACAAGGUCCAGACUCCUACGGGAAGCAGCAGUAGGGAAUCUUCCGCAAUGGGCGAAAGCUUGACGGAGCAACGCCGCGUGAGUGAUGAAGGUCUUCGGAUCGUAAAACUCUGUUAUUAGGGAAGAACAAAUGUGUAAGUAACUAUGCACGUCUUGACGGUACCUAAUCAGAAAGCCACGGCUAACUACGUG
rnacentral:rRNA from 1 species